CUUUUGAGUCUGACGGGCUGGUGGAGUGUGAGCGUGGCUCCUAAAUUUCUUGGGUAGGACUGAAGAAGCACUUUUAAGAUGUGGAAACUCAGAGAGGAUGCCACUGUUUUGAACUAUUUUGAAGGCACAGCCACCAGAGCUUUAGGGACAGGGUAUUUUAUCACAGCAACAGAAAUGAAACCAAAACAACUCCACAAUAAAAUUCUUGAGUUUCUUGGGGCCAAGAAGAUGACACGAUAAGAUAAAGACACUGGCCAAGUAUGACCUCCAGAGUUUGGCCCUUGCAUAAAGGAGAAAAUUAAUUCCUUCAGUUGUUCUCUGACCUCCACAUGCGUCCUGUAACAUGGGUGUAUGCAUACACAUAAACACACAUCCACACGUUGUUAAAUAAAUUAAAAAAUAUAUAAUAACAGU
ensembl:lincRNA Gm19705 predicted gene, 19705